rnacentral:rRNA from 1 species
UACGUAGGGGGCAAGCGUUGUCCGGAUUUAUUGGGCGUAAAGAGCGUGUAGGCGGCUAGAUAGGUCCGUUGUGAAAACUCGAGGCUCAACCUCGAGACGUCGAUGGAAACCAUCUGGCUAGAGUCCGGAAGAGGAGAGUGGAAUUCCUGGUGUAGCGGUGAAAUGCGUAGAGAUCAGGAGGAACACCCGUGGCGAAGGCGGCACUCGUGGGUCGGCCCUGACGCUGAGGCGCGAAAGCGUGGGGAGCGAACGGG